GGCGGUGGGAGGGGAUAUAUUUCAGACUGGGGCCACUUUGGGACUGGGAGAGGGUCUCUGCUUACAGCCACUGUGGUCCACCUUUCCAUUUGCAAAGCAUCAGUGCCCGCCAGAGACUCUUCGCCCCGGGGUCUUAGUAGACUUUAAGCUCUGUGCGUCUCGGAUAAGUCUUGCUGGCUCGGAGGGUUUGUCCGGGCUAUCCGGAGGGUGCACCCCCAGCCCUGAGUCUCUGUCUGCUCCGCCGCGGGUUCAUCUCACUCAGGGGCGGGAGGUCCCGGCUCGGCAGCGGCUUAGUUCAAAGCGCCCGGCUGGGUCAUGUGAGCUGAACCGGCUUCAGCGGCCCGCGCUACCUGGAUUUAAAGGGCCCUUGUGGGCAAAGCUGCCUUCCCGCCUUUCCUCUGCCCCUCUGAGGCCAGCUUGGUUCUGACAUCCCGCGCAUCCCCUUUUCUUCCCCUCUCUGACCCUACCUGUCCCAUUGCGGAGCGCUGGUUUCGGCGUGCGCUCGGAGUGCCGCGGGGCUCCUCGCCUAGCCGCCAGUCGCCCACCUUUGGACUCUCGGCUGGAGCCGGGGAAAGAACGUUGCCAUUGCGAGUUUUCUAUUUUAAAUGUUUAAUGAUAGGUCCCGGGCGGGCAGAAUCCAUUUUCAGCGUUUAUCACGUGUGGCGCGCAAACCACGGGUUUUGGCGAUUGGGUGGCUGGGGACCUCGGAACAGAGGCCGCCAUGGAAUGGCUGGGGAACCCGUUUCCCUGCUGGAGUUCCAGCCAACCCAGUGAGUGAUGCGAGGCUGGGUUGCGGCUGGUCUGAGACAGCUCCCCCUGCAGCUGUGCGCGCACACGUAUUCAACUUGCUCAAACUAACCCCCAGCCGUGCGCUGUGGGGCAGAUCAUCAAAUAUUUGGCUUUGGUGAUAACAAGUCCUGAUAGUGCCGUUUCCUGUGUCGCUUUUAUUCUGCUUGUGGAAGUUGCUGAGAAAACCCCAGGUCAAGACACCAAACGCACCAUGGGCUCCCGCCGUGUCAACUUGGAAAUAAUGAAGCUUGAAGACCACCCCUCCCUCGCUGGGCACCCGGGGCUCGGAAGGGAUCUCCGUGAAGACAGGGUCCCAGUUAAUCCUCUCAGCUCUAGAUAAAAAGCCCUGGAGCUUCUGGGAGAUAUUGUCUGGCUCCAUUAAAGGUCAAAAAUAUAAAAUAAUGACUCAAGGGUCAGGGUGUAAAAGCUGGUGAUAGAGCUGCCAAAAUAAUAUAGAGCAAAUUCUAAUUCUCCUUAGACACUUGUUAAGAAGAGGCCCUGCUUUGGAAAGGCCUCUAGGUCCUGAGGGAAGGAAAGGCCAAUCGCAGAGAGAUUUUCCUGGGGGUAGGGCUUAGGUUGCUGGCAGAUGGAGGGUGCCUUUCACUGUGUCCGUUCUUUUUUUUAAUAUGUGGAUUUAUCACCUUAAACUAAAGUAGAGUCCUCAAUAGAUGCUUAGCAGCAUGUGGUCAGCAUGGAUCUGUGAGGCCAUCCCGAAGCCAGGCUUAACAAGGCCCUCUCCCUGCGUGAGGGUCAGAGCUUAUGGCCUCUCCUGCUCUCUCCUGUGAUCUCCAGCAAGGCAGUGGGUCCUAGCUGACAAUUCAGCGCCUUGCCUGGCUCAUCAAGCAGCAAUAGAUAAUCCCUGACUUUGGUGCCAGUCUCUGUGUUUCAGGUCUGGCAGUAUGGCCCCAGCUGGCCGCCUGCAUCCCAAAGGGCCAGGUGGCUUCCAGGGCGGCUCCCAGGGCCCUGCUGGGAACCUGGCGGGGGCGGUUGCUCCCCCCCUGGCCUUGGGUACAAGCUGGGGCAUGCUGGGGAGGCCACAGCUGGGUGGCUUCCUCUGGCUGCACACACACCUUUCAGUCCGUUCUUUCUUUCAUGUUGAAAGGACAAAGCCUAGCUUGUCUGAGCCUCUCAAUCAGCGAGGCUGGCUUUGGGCUUUUGUGGGACCGUCCUGACUUUCUCAGGCCUGGCUCUCUGGAUCAUCACUCCUAAUUAGAUAGCAGAGUGGCUUUUAACAGAACCCAUGAACUGGGUCUUGUUUUCUUUCUCUCUCUGUCGCUAAACUAGAGGUAAUUAGGGGAAGCCCAGGACUGUAGCUGCUAAGAGCUUCCUGUAGGUGCAUCUUUAAUCUCUGCUGGGCCACAGCACAGGCAGGAACCUCCUACUCCUGCUGGUGUGACUUGGGGGAUGGCAGCUGGGCUGGAGAAGCGGGUAGUGACUGGAAACUUAUUCCCACACUGAGUCUGCUGAGAAAGCAUGGUCAGAUCAGAAAUAGACAAGAUUUUUAGAAUGCCAAGUUCACUCUUACCCUUUGCUCCCGAAUGAGAAAAAACGUUCCUGUCAAACUGCCCCAUUGUCACCCUAAGAGCAUUUGGUGUUGGUGGCAGAGACAGACUGCGGCACACCUCCGCCACCGGUCCCCCUCAGUUUUGCCUGCCUGGGGACUCCUGCUUCAACCCUGAGGGCUUUUGCAGACCUUUAUUGUCCUGUCUGCAGCCAAACUGGUUUUUGUUCUUAUAAGUUGUUCUCCCUGGAAUUUGAGCAGUUUGCCAGGCCUAGUGGGAUCUACACUAGAGGGAAAUUUACAACAAAACCAGGUGCUACGUGUGAAGACUUGACUGUCCCAGAUGACAAGACCAGCCUGAACCAUAAAGUCCCUGGGAAAGCCAGAGACUUGCGGCUUGCGUGGGACACCCAUCCUCCUGGCUCUGGCCCCAAAGUUCAAUGGCAAGAUCUGUAAACUGGUUUGGAUUAACAAGCCCCCUACUCCUCUGGGUAGACUUCAUUUUGGAAUUCAAAACAGGCCACACUCUCUCAAACAGUCCCCAGGCAAAGUUGAUCCUGCAGAGACCGAGUCUCGCCAUUAACCCCAGCUACUCUUUUUUUUUGGGGGCGGGGGAGAAACCGAACAACCCUGUUCAGAAUCUUCUAGAAAGCCAACUGUCUUAGGGAGGGUGUGUGUGACUCCCGUUUAUCCCUCAGCCAGGUUAGGAAGGAAUGAAAUUUGUUUAAUCUUCGAAGCUGAGUUAGAAAGAGAACCCUGUCAUUAUUGUAGCCAGCGCAUAAAAGUGGCUUUUGUUAACUUGUUCUGCUAAGCAGAAGUGAGGCCUAGCAGUUUGGUUUUUCGCUUUACCCCCAUCUGGCUGUCCUUUUUGGAGACAAGUGUUUGGCGUUAAGAUCUCUCCUUUAGCCCUCCGAACAGACCCUACCACUGGGGAGUGGUCGGGAAAGGUUCUGUUACAAUUUAAACACGGCCUUUGGGGAGUGCGCCACAGAGCGUGGCUGCAGGCGCCUGCAGCUGUAAGCUGGCCCGCCUUAGAAUUUGGAAGGGGCUCCUUCACAUUCCAGCCUUUUCUGGUUAGCAGAGGAAGGUUAAUAGAGAUGUCACAUGGCUUUUCCCUUUGCCUUCUUUCCCUCUCCUCUCCUCUCCUCUCCUCUCCUCUCCUCUCCUCUCCUCUCCUCUCCUCUCCUCUCCUCUCCUCUCCUCUCCUCUACCACAGAUCAACUUCACCAUAGGGGUGCACCAACAGCUGUGUUUUCAGUAACCUUUUCAAAGUCACUUUUAAACCUCAUUUUCCUGGAUCUAUAAAUCAAAGAUUUCCCCCUCCCCUCCCCUUUUCCCAAGGAUAUUAUGUGACCCAGAUUUGAACUGUGUUGGAUCUUUUGUGUGUAUUUCCCUUCUGCAAUCAAGGCAGGCUAAGGCUGGGCCCUGGAUGGCAGCUCAGAUGGCUGCUUUGGAUUUUUAUCCCAGGGCGGUCAUUUGGGUCUGAGGUUCCCUUAGAAGGUGGGAGGUGGUGCGGAGGGGACUGGUUAAUUGUUUUCCUGCACUGAGAAAAGAAAGUGAGACCCUCAGAGACCGAGCUCCAGAGAACUGGGUUGAGGCCUUACCUCAGUAUGCCACCUUAGAUAGUGGCAGCCAACAAGCCUUUGCCUAGAUUAACGCAGAGGGUGGACGGUCCCCUGACCACUGGCAUGCCUGUGGUGUGAGCACAUGUCAGAUGCCUCUGAACUGGAAGACAGGAUGAUUUCAUCCCAGGCAGAGGCCCGUGGAGGUUGAUUGAUGACCCUGUCGCUUUCAUAUCUCGCCCACCCCACUUACUAAGGUCAUAUUUGGCCCUCAUCGAGCCUCAUAGUGUCCUCCGGCUGCCUUCUCCACCCUUCCCGCCCUGCCCCUCCGUGUAGCUGUGGAAUGGAGAACACUUCCCACCCAGCAGCAGUCUGGUGCUCCGCGGUGCUCCGAGGCCAUGGCUGGGGCCCAUCGACACACAGGGGAGGUGGCUGGGGCUGCACAGCCUGCCUUCGAGAGCGAGCGAGCAAGCGAACAAGCGAACGAGACGUGCACCUGUGGCACAUGGGGGUUAGAAGACAACCUGUGGCAGCCAGUUUCCCCCUUCCACCAUGAUGGUUUUGGAGAUCAAACUCAAUUGAGAUGUAGAAACUGACUUUCGCUAUCCACUCCGGCCCGAUCAGCGAAGACUUUGUGUCGCUCCUCAUGAUGCCAUCUGACACAAAUGAGGACACCCACCUCACCAGAGGGGAACAGAAUAAAAUGCUGACUCUUUCUCUGGAUAUUAACAUCUGUGUUUUUUUUUUUUUUUUUUUUUUAAAUCACUACCUGGGAGACCAAAAUGGAAUGAAGGGUCUGUAUAGAAACUUCAAAUAAAAACUUAUUCCAACAUGAAAAAGUUUAAUUAAAAAGGAAAUCUCAUUACCGAAGUAUUUCUUCCCACCCCUUUCUGGAAGCCAGUCAAAGUACAAAUAGUCUUUCCCUUCGGGGGAGUGACAAGCCCAGGGCCCUCAUUAACUAAGCCUGCAGCUUCCCACUUGUGAUUGGAGCAGGUGCGAAGGGGCCCCUGACUCCUGCAGCUGGCUCUGUGCAGACAACAUCAGUAAAGCCUGGUUGGAUUCCUUAGAGGCCAAGGAGCUGAGAGAUCAUGUCCCAGGCCUGAGGCAGAUGUGGGCGCCCUCCUUCCAGGGCCCCACAAAUUUCCUUCAGCUCUCUAUGCCAUUUGGAGAGUUCAACGUGGUGUGUAGACUUCUCAGCAUCUCGGAGACCACAUGUUCUAUCUCAUCUUUAUCUCCCCGAAGCAUUUGGGCUUCCCUCUCUGUAGUCAUGCUUAAUUAAAUUUGUCAGUGAGUAGGGUCUUGUGCUCUUGAGUGUCCCGAAGCCCUGGUCUAAGGCUUGUGCAUUCUUACUGUCUCUCAGCAUUGUCACUGUUGCUAAACGGUUAAGUGGCACUAAACAUUGUCUGUGUAUUUGAUGGGCCAGUGGCUCACCUGCCUGGUGACCUCACACAAUUGUGCGCAUGCAAAUGCACAUCCAGGCAUGCACAUGCAGACACAGAGACAAGCAUAUGUUUGCAUGCAUAGGCAAAGAGCACGUGUGUGCCUGUCCACACAUGUGCACAUGUAAUACAUACAGCCUGCGGUGUCUGGUUGCUUUGGCUUUUGAUGAAGGACUCCAGCCCUCCUUGCUGCCUUGCACAAUUCCCAGAGUGCACCAGGUGUUGGCCGGCCAGUUGUCUGUGUCUGUGCGCGUGGGAGGGGUGAUGACAUUCCAGGCAGAGUCCUGUACAUGUGUCUGAUCUCACGGUCUCCCCCUGGUACAUUUUGGGUAUUUAGCCUAUGUAGAAGCAAAGUGCGUAGUAAGUGGCAUGUUGGGGGAUUUUUUUGCUUUAUGAAGGCAUAGUUGAGACUAAUAGGGUUAACAGGGCCCCAGAGAGGAAAACAACUCAGGUCUUCCCGUUUGUUUAUUAUGAGAAGUUGCAUGUGAACUGUCCCCACCAGCUCUCGUGUUUGAGCACCUGGUGCCCAGCUGGUGGCGGUGUUUCGGGACAUUGCGGAACUGUUUGGUGACGUCGUAUGAUUUAUGGGUGAGUUCCUGGUGAUGAGGACACUGCCGCUGUUUUCCCAGAAGAUACUGGCUGUCCCUUGUCCCCAAGACUUGGCCUGAGUGGAGAGUUCUGUCUUCUCAGGCAAUAGAGGCAGUUUCUCACUCCCCACAGGACUCCUGUGGCUGAACCUAGACGAAGAUUCAGGGUCUUAACUAACCCUCUCUGAAAUGGGUCAGGAUGACCCUGUAGAUUUAGAACUAGCUCUCUAUGUAGCCAUUUAAUUAGGCAUCCUCCUGCCUCAGCCCGGCUCUCCCCCCUUUAUCUCUCAGCUUUCUGCAGGGUAAGUGACAUUGGGCAGCCAUAUCGUUCCUAGUAAGCGAGGGCCGUGCCUUUGUGAAUGAACACAAACCUCGCUGGCCUGGGAGCAGGCACGGAGGAAGAUAGUACACUAUACCUGAAAAUAGAUGCUAGGCCUUGAUCUUGACUCUGUGGUGCCUUCUGAUGGGUAGGAGAAGGAGAAGCAGACUCUGGCUCUCCAUCCUGAUUGUUAUAAGACCUCUCUCUCUGCCAUUAUGGCAGGGCAAAGGGCCUGUGUGGCAUAAGUGGGGCCCCAACAGAUGUGUCAGACCUCACGACGCUGUGUGGACAAGUCUGUGGAAACAGCCUUAACCUGUGCCCAGAGCUUCCAAUAGCAGUUUGUUGUGAUCAGGAGAGUCACCUCUAGAUGCCCUCCAAUAUGGGUUCAGUUCCUUUCUUGUGUGUGUGUGCACACAUAUGUGUGUGUGUAUGUGUGCAUGUGUCUAUGCAUGUGCACACACGUGCAUGGGUGUAGAUGAGAAUGUGUGCAUGUGGGUGUUUGUGUGUAUAUAGAUGCAUAUGCAUGUGUGUGUGUGCGCGUGUGAUACGUGUGUUGUGGGGAACACUCUGGGAACAAAUGGAGCUGUGCAGUUCGAAUGCAAAGUCUGUAUCCGGGAUGACUUAGAACAUGUCUGGAGAGACAGUGAGGAGCAGAGGGUGGUUAGGCUCAGCACACAGGCUCACUGGGCACGAGGAAUGGCUGCAGGCUGUAGGCUUCUGCAUACCAUGGUGAGGCCCUGGGCACGGGGAAGGACUCGUGACCUUCAGGGCGAACCUGCUGAUUCAGGUUCAGCAGCGCACUAGCGUGACUCUCCGUUCUGACACAAGCCUGUGUUUCUGGUCCACACUUACAUGGGAAACCUGGGUAAAGGGCACAGAUAGCAGCUCUACACACCAGCUUUGAGAUUCCCUUGUGACUCUCGUUAUUCCAAAAUAAUUUACCCGACAGAAUGUCACCUCUGGUGGGCACGUGGGUACCCGGCAUGCUUGUCUCUACCGUAUGCUAUGUGAUUAAACUUUCCUCAAGCCUGGAUACACCAGACAAAAUCCUACUGGAGAUGUUCACCAGGUAUAGUCUAUAUCAGGUCUCAAGGUUUUGAGGCCAGGCGGCUCCUCCCCGCUGCCUCUCUCUGUGGUAGCAUGCCUCUGGUCAGUAACCAAUCAGUCAGACCCAUUAGCACAAAGGGGGCCUAGCGAGCAACUGGAGACUCAGUGGGGCAGUGCCCAGAGACAUUUAAAGCUCCCUUGCCUGUCCUGAAAGGCGUAGAAUAAAGCAGACAUUUGUUCACAGGGCAGGGGCUGUCUGGGGUCUUUCCCCCUUACUUCUUGGUCUUGAACUUUAUAAAACACCAACCCCCAACCCCUGCUCCUUCCCCUUCUCAAGUUCCAUUUUCUGACUCACUUGACCUUCACAUUUGUUGAGAGACAAGCCCUUAAAAAUGGCAGCGGGGCCUGGAACCUUCCAGGGCCAGUAAAUGUUUAUAGGAUGGAGGUACUGGUUGGUCAUUCCCCUCAGGAGGAAACAAUAAACGAAGUGACUUGCCUUUCACCCAUUCAGCGAGCUCUGGGUUGUCUUGAUGUAUCAGUGGGGGUUGGGUAGGUGACGAGGAGGGUGGGGAAGGGGAUCCAGGAAUGUUGUGGGCAGUGUGGUUCAAUAACCUGGGAGCAUGGAGGGCUUUUUUGUAGAUAGUAGAGAGCUGCUGCGUGUGGUCUGUGGGGUCACUCUGCUCUGUGCACUGUGGGAUAUCUAACCAUUUCUUAAGCCUCCACACACUGGAUGCUAGGAGGACUGUCUGUAUCACAAGUUGUGACACUCAAAUGUCACCCCCAGACCUGGCUAAGAAUCUCCUGGGUGAGGGCAAGCCUCCCCCCCCCCCACCCCCCGCCCCAGCUGGAGACCACUGACUCCGAGUGAUUUUUUUUGGAAGUUUAGAGAACCAGCUACAGGCUUGCAGCAGCCAAGCUAUAAGGGAUACACACGUUCUUGGGGAUGAAUCCCCUUCGGACUGUAAGAAAGACUGCAACCACAGUGGGACCUACUCCUGGAUCCUGCUGCCUUCCUGAGAGAUGCCCCUGAGAACAAGGUGGAGAGGGAUACCCCGAGGGCCCUAGGGUUCUCUCUCUGCUGCCCAAAUAGAUGUCCCUUUCCCCACUCCCUACAGGCCGACGGUGCUUAAAUGUACACCUGGGCCUAUUCAUGAGCUGUCUUCCAGCUUCCUCAGCAGGAGGCUGAGUGUUUUAGCCUGGGUAAUGGAGAAGAUGGGCAAGCCAGCUUCCUGUGUGCUUCAAAGCUCCACAAAGCACAGAGACCGCCUUGGACCUUAGCUGGCUUCAGAUCGUAACCUGAGGCUCAGCCUAGCUACUGACUGUGUUUCUCUAAGAGCACGUGUUAAAUAGUCACAAGUGACAAUUACCCACCACCCAACUGACAGGGAUGCUAAAUAAAUGUCUUGCUCACACACAGGCUGGGUGUGUGCUCCGACAUUUAUAGUAUAUAGUGGCCCACCAGUGUGGCUUUGUCAGAUGUUGUGGUGGCCAAAGCCUGAGUGUCUCCUGCCUGCCCUGCCAUGAUCAUUUGUGGACCCCCCCCCCCAGAUCCUCUGUUGAUGACUGCCUGUGACAGACAUUGUCUGAGUACAUUAUCCUUUUGCAGGGACCUCCUUACCCUACUCAGAGUACCUCUUUCCUGGUUUUAGUUGGACCUCUGUCUCCUCUGAUGUGACUCUCCCUACCCCCACCCCAAGUCAGUACUCCACACCACCUUGCCCAAGUGGUCUCUGUCUCAUCCCUGUUGAAGAAUAUCUCAUAAGCAGUCCAGCCCUGAGGCCUACUCCUACCUCUUGGUAGAUCCAAGACCUCUUUUUUGGGCUCAGAGACUUGGUUCCAUCUCUAGAGUUAACCCUGCUUCCUGACUCUGGGGUGCCCAGUUGGUGGGAGCAGAGAGGAGGUCAGCAUGUAUACUCAACAACCAGGAACCCCAGCUGCAGUCUUAGUGCAGGCUAUGAAGGUAGUCAGCAGCCACCCCCCCCAGACAUGGUGCCUCAGCCCUACAUCUACGGCACUGGAUGGAGGUGGCAUGCCUGAGCAGAAAGACACUGGCUCAGACAGAAGCUUGCCUGUGUUGACAGGGCACGAGGCAAAACAGGAAGUUGGCAUUAUCACACCGGGCUGAUCCUGUUUCACUAGAAAGUUAUCUCUCUGCUGAUUAAGAUCUGUCAUUGGUCAGGGUUUUUUUUUUUUUUUUUUAAAGAAACAGAGCUGGGGACCAGUUGGAGGAGUGCCCUGAACAGAGUACGCAUAACCUCUCCUCCGAGGUUGCCUAGAAGACUGGCUUACAAGCAAGGGCAGGAAGGUGUGCUCGAUGUGGUUGUCUGGAGCCGUGUUCAGUGGAUUAAAAUGCUCUCCCCCUCUUGUGGUUUCCUACAUUGAUACCUGUAUUUAGGGAGGCAUGCAUAGGUAAGUAGAGCCCAAGCUAGCUUCCAAAGCCUGCAGACACAGCAGUGUACCACAGUACAUGUGAACAAAAGGCUGGCCACCUGUGAUGGUUGUUUUGUGCUUAUUGGUACUGGGGACAGAACCCAGGGCCUUAAACCUUCAGGCCAAUGCUCCACCUCCAAGCUGUGCCCCCAGCACAUUGCUUGUUAUUAAUCAAACCAAACUCUGCAGUCCACAGGCUGCUGAUAGAUUCACUUUAACCCCAGUCCCAAAGAUCUGACCUUGAAGACCCAGCAGAAGUUCAGCAUUUGUUAGUAACAGGACCAGUGGACCCCUUCCAGUGUCCUGCAGGGGCAAAAGCUCUUGACCGUGAUCAAAGGAGGUCAGAAGUUCUGUUCCCUAGGUGGAAGCAGAACUUGAUGGAGCUCCGCCUGGGUCCUGCUCAGGGACCCGUGGCAGCUGUGUCCCUGGUCAGAGCCUACACAAGGACAAGAUGCCUUGAGUGUUCUCAGAGUCUGGUCCACAUUUAAGCUGUGUGGAGAAGGCCUUCUGCCUGAGAGCUACUGGUGAGACUUGAACCCUGGCAGACCUUGUCAUGGGUGGGGUCUAGCCUCAACUCUGCUGCGGCUUGUUCCCUUGGGGGAUGCUGGGACAGGGCCUGGGUGCUUCUUCUGAUAGACAGUGGGGCAGGAAGGGUAGGGGGAUAUUUGUAGGAUAAUUUCUGGCCAGUGUGCAUCUGCUGGGAACAAAAGCUCGUCUGUCAGAGCUCUCUAGUCGUGGGCAUCACAGCUCAACAAUGAGUAGCUUAUGUGGUUGGGGGAGAUCUGCGCCUUCCUGAGUGUUAAGAAUGGACAUACUAGCCAAUCUCUACCAAGUCCUGGAGAGGGUGCAGGAUGGGUUUAACAGAGGUUCCCAGCACUGUCAGUAGGCAGACUAUAAGCCCUCCAUGCUACCUGGCCCAUCAUAGUAAACAGGGCACAGCUCUUGAUUACAGGAUAGGCUCCAAGCUCCGCCCCGUCUGCUUGCUCAGCUUCCCUUGCAGCUCGAAACAGCCUCAGGAUGUUAUGCUAAUUAGCAGACAGGACAGGAAACCCGCUGGUUGUACCUAAUGUGUUAGGAGGUGGUUCAGGAAGAAAAAAAAAAUUGGCUUCCUGCUGAGUGACUGCAAAGCAAACACAACUCUGUCUUCUCCCUUUCCUUGUCUUGAGUGUGGUUCUCUGAAGACUCCAUGCUUGGUUCUGUGGCAGCCCUUUUGUGACCAGGAGGCUCAGGGAUUCGAAGUCACUGUGUAAACGGAGGCAAAGUGGCAGAAAAGACGGCCGAGGCAAGUUAAUGAGGCUUGAUCGUGUGCUCUCCCAUGACUCAGUUGCUUUAGAAGGUAGAUCUUACCACAAGGAUGGGUGGCUAGGAGUCAGCCUCUGGUUGCCUGUGAUAUGGGGGGGGUUGUGCCUGCUCUCUGACUACAGCUAGUCGUCGUCGUCGUCGUUGUCGUCGUCGUCGUCGUUGUCGUUGUCAUCAUCUCAUCAUCGUCAUCAUCAUGAUCAUCACCAUCUCAGUGUACUUGUACCACUAUCCUCUUGGUUACCCUCUUGGCUCAUAGUGUCUUAUUUUUGUAACAUAGGCACACUGAACACUUGGAGCAAAGAAGGAGAUGUAGGGGUCCCCCCCCCCACCCCCCCACUCUAGAGCCCCAGGUUCUCACACCCAGUGGUCAUCACUACCUGGCUCUCCUUCAAAAUAAGAGUCUCCUGUAGAGCUGAUCUCAGGCCCCAGACCAAUCGUGGACAACUGAGAGCUCCGCUUCAUGGAAAAUUAUUUGCCAGUCCCUUUUGUAAUGGCAGAUUGCAGGAGCCCUGUAUGGGAAGGGUGCUCGGAGCUUGGAGCGGCAUGAGGCUGUCUGUGGCUUGGUGUGCAUCUGCGGUAGAAAGAGCCUCUUCCUCAGUCCAGACUGAGUCCCCAGGGUCUCACCACGUAGCCCUGGUUGGCCUGGACUCAGCAGAGAUCCCUGUGCCCUUGUCUCUGUCUCUGCUUCGAAUGCUGGGAUGAAAGGCAUGCGUGUAACUGCCAUGCCCAACUCUACAGGCAGUUUGAAGAGUGUCUUUGUAGUCCAGACCAGGAGUUUGUGUGUCAUGUGAACUUGAGGAAGUGAGUGAGGGCCUUGAAGAUUUCCAGUUUUCACCAAACUGUCUCCAGCUGCCCUGACAUGGUCUCCCAAGUACCUCCACAGCAGCAGUGAAGCGGAGCUCUCAGCUGUCCACGAUUGGUCUGGGGCCUGAGGUCAGCUCUACAGGAGACUCUUAUUUUGAAGGAGGAGUUGGAGCCUGCUUCUCUCUGAGGCACCUGCAUCUCUGGGGCUAAUGAGUUUAGCUUGAUGGAACCCAGACCCCAGGAAGGAUUAUAAAUUCUCAUGUGAUCUGACUCGCUGCUGAGUGCCUGAAAGCAGCUGUGUGUGCCCAGCUGACCUGCAGCCCCAGCUGCCCGGGGCGGUCUGGGUCUCCCCUUGCCCAGUGGGGAAGGAGGAGGCCACGGCCUCACUCCCACCUGGCUGGCCAUUGGGCCUGGGCCCCUGCCCUGCUGGCUGUGUAGUGGUUUUGCCAUAUUGCAUGCUGGCCUCUGUUGGUGACACUUUUCUCUACAGUCCCAUAAGUAGGGGUCUUGGUGUGGCUUUGUGUCACAGGGGGAAACUGAGCUUUCUAGAGAUGGGUUAACUUGUCCUGAGUCCCUGUCAGUGGCAGGCAGGGGCUGUGUCCCACUGGACUUCCAGGCCCCUGGGGUCACACUCAGCUUUUUUUCCUGAGUGGAAUGGGGCAUGAAGUGGAGUUCUAGGCACUGUGGGGUGUUGCUCAUGCCCUCUGAUGCCUUCCCAGAGAAGCUGCUGAGCGGCUGACUGAUGGGUGCUGGGCAGAGCUGAGGUGAACAGAAGAGAGAUGGCAGCCAUCUUUGAAGACUUUUGAAUGUACUGGAGGCUCCACAGAUGUCAUGUGUCCCAGCAGUUGUCAAAGUGGCUCUGUAGGCAGCACUGUCAUCCUUGGGACUAGUCUAUGUCCAACCUCGACGUUUGUAUGGUGACAGUCUGCAUCUAGAGGGAUCAGUCUUGACCCUCCCAUGGCUCAGGUCCUUGGAUCUGGAGCAAAAGCCACAUACCCAGGAUGUGGAGGCUCACUCCAGCUCUGACCCACAGUAGAAGUUGAUGUUUGGUUCCUGUGGUAGGAAACACAUGAGUAGCCAUGUUCUAGAUGGGACAUGAUGGAGACCACAUGAGGUUAGUGAUAAGCUGUGCAUGCCGGGCUGAUUUCUGCCCAGUUGGGUAAGGACCAGGGACCAAGGGCCAGGUGAGUCUGGGGCAGAGCCCAGCAUGUGUCACCUAGGCAUGUCUGACAACUGUCCAUACAAUGGCAUCAGCCGCAUGUAUAGUGUGAGCACCAGCUUCCGUGAACCCUGUCGUCUGAGCAGGGGUCUUUCUGCUGGCUGUGCAGGCAGAACCAGAACUAUCAGUCUCCAGAGUCCACGAAAGCCACACAUGAGACUCAGACCCCAAGUUCUGUAGUGGAGGAGUGUGUGUGUGUGUUUGUUGUGUGUGCGUACAUGUGCACAUGUAUGCGGGUGCGUGUGGAGGUCAAAGGUUAAUGUUGGGUGUGGAUCUCUUUCCCGUGUGCUUCUGUAGCAGGCCCUUUACCCACCAAGCUAUCCCCAUAGUCCUCCAGUGGAAUUCUGACAUCCAUAGGUCUUCUCACCUGCAAGCCUCCUGUCUUUGAAGAUAGUCAUCUUGUGUGUCCUACACACGUGCCUCCUCCUCUCUUGUAUCCAAGUUGACUGAUUUGGAGCCGGCAGCACCGGGUGCUGCAGAGAGCUGAGCAGAUCCAUCACGCUGAAGAUUUGUGUCUGGGAAGAGUCCACAGGCCACAAGUGGCUAUUUAAGUUUAAACUAACUAUAACAACAAAUCAAAGCCCCCAGCCACAGCGGCCACAUGUGGCCCGUGCCUACUGCCACGGGCGGUGCCCGUGGAGAGAGGCUCAUCCUGAGCCACAUGGAGGUCAAGUUGGUGGAUGCUGGCACAUCUGUGUGACAUGACCCACUGGAAGAGCAAGAGGACUUGGGAGUGAUGAAAGGCAUUGGGGUCCCACCCAGCUGGCUGGCAGCCCAGAGAGGGACCAAGUCCAGCAUCCUUGACCUCUUGAGGUCCUGCUAGCUCAGAGCCUCUCAACACCACACAAUAACAUCUGGGAGGCAUUGGGAAACACGCCUGCACUCCUAGCGCUUGGGAGAUGGAGACCAGAGGAUCAGGAGUUCAAGGUUACCCUCAACUACACAGCAAGUUCAAAGCUAGCCUAAGCCACAAGAAAUUGGGGCUUGUCUGGGGUAUGACUAAGGCCCUGGGUUUAAUCCUAUCUUUGUAAUGGAUUAAUAAAUAAAGAAGAAAGAAAAGGAAAAAAUUAGAGUGGGCCUUACCAUUUUACUGGGCUGUCUU